CCUACGGGUGGCAGCAGUGGGGAAUAUUGGACAAUGGGGGGAACCCUGAUCCAGCCAUGCCGCGUGUGUGAAGAAGGCCCUCGGGUUGUAAAGCACUUUCAGUGAGGAAGAACGCCUGGUGGUUAAUACCCAUCAGGAAAGACAUCACUCACAGAAGAAGCACCGGCUAACUCCGUGCCAGCAGCCGCGGUAAUACGGAGGGUGCGAGCGUUAAUCGGAAUUACUGGGCGUAAAGCGCGCGUAGGUGGCUUGAUAAGCCGGUUGUGAAAGCCCCGGGCUCAACCUGGGAACGGCAUCCGGAACUGUCAAGCUAGAGUGCAGGAGAGGAAGGUAGAAUUCCCGGUGUAGCGGUGAAAUGCGUAGAGAUCGGGAGGAAUACCAGUGGCGAAGGCGGCCUUCUGGACUGACACUGACACUGAGGUGCGAAAGCGUGGCUAGCAAACAGGAUUAGAUACCCUAGUAGUC
rnacentral:rRNA from 1 species